rnacentral:rRNA from 1 species
AGUGGCGGACGGGUGAGUAACGCGUGGGUAACCUGCCUCAUACAGGGGGAUAACAGUUAGAAAUGACUGCUAAUACCGCAUAAGACCACAGCACCGCAUGGUGCAGGGGUAAAAACUCCGGUGGUAUGAGAUGGACCCGCGUCUGAUUAGGUAGUUGGUGGGGUAACGGCCCACCAAGCCGACGAUCAGUAGCCGACCUGAGAGGGUGACCGGCCACAUUGGGACUGAGACACGGCCCAA